CUCCAGAACCGGAGGGCACGUGAGGACGGCAGCAGGUAAGUGUGUGUGUGUGUGUCUGUGUGUCUGUGUGACGCGUAAUCGCCGGCUAUGCACUCUCGAACGCCCACAGUGGAGUGUCCAGAUUAAAAAGGGAAACAGUUUGUAGAAGUGCAGGACCGCGGGACACAGGUGUGGGCCUUUGGGGAAACAGUUUAGAGACAGUUGAAUUGAGCUUGGCUGCGCGAGGAACGAGAGCGCUCCGUGCGCGCUCCCGGCACUCUCAGGCCGAGAGAGAGAGAGAGAGGUACCCGCGCGCCAGUCAGGGGUGACGGAGGGUGGUUUAAAGUCGCUCCCUCACAAUAUAGAAAGCUCAUGUUAACUCCAAGGUGAUUCUGAGUCAAAAUAAAUAAAAUAUAUAUUAUUUUCAAGAGACACACACACCACUUUAAAGAUACCAUUGAACAUUGUUUUCCACUUCCACAUCUGUCCUGCUUACAUGCUACAGCUUUAAAUAAGCGAACGGUUUUAUUGGUUAUACAUUAGUAAGUUCUAUACAGAAGAUUUAUAAGCUUGUUUUGCAAAUCCCCAGGGUUGUGUUAAAAAGGGCCUUCAGGCUUUUCAUCCUUCUUCUGCUAAACACUCUGUCUCAUUGGCUCAUUACCUCCUAACAGUAGACUCCCUAAAUGUACUUUGACCCCUGACCUCCUUGAAAUAGACAUUUACUGAUUUAUCAACAUGAACGAAAUCAGACUUCAUAGUAGAACAUCCUUAUUAUGGUCCACAUGGAGCCUUGCAAGCUAGUUUUUUUUGUUUUUUUUUCUCAGGAAUUGUUGACUCUGCUUAAAAUGUCCUGCCUUCCACUCAGUGGGACUGAUUUCCCAAGGGCUACUGCCCCAUUUAAUGCAUAUUUAAUGCGUUUUUAUGUUCACACCAAUAUGACCAGUCUAUUAUAUUAUACGGCAUAGGCACAGCAUGUUGCUAGCUUUGGCAGUAAACAAUAUUUAGUAGCUGUGGACUUCUAGGAGCAUUGCACAUGAGAGCAAUAUUUACUAAUCAAGAUGACUUGGCUUACUCUAAAGCCAUCCAGUCACAUUAUUCUGUAACAAUGUGAUGGCUACAUGUUCUGCUGUUUAUCAAAGAGAACGUUUUCUGUCUUGCAGCAUCCAUAACUUGCAAGCCAUGCAGCCAGUGAUGUGUUUAAUGCGAUAAGGUUUAAAUGUUUGUUAAAUAACAUGAAAGAAACAAAAAAAAUCAGGUAGGAAUAAGAAAAAAUAAAUUGCUGGCCUCGCUUGUUAUGUUUUACUUUUAGGGUGAAGUGGAACAUUUAAAAGCACAAGGGAUCUUCCCAAAUGAAAAUUAUUUUUAAUACUAGGUGCUCCUGUCAGUAGCCUACCCAGGAAAUGACAGAUUGUCUCCUAGCAACUCUGGUCCUAAGAUUACUAUCAUUUUCUACCAUGAAGUCUACCAUAAAGGGGACUGAACAGAGGUCUGCAACCUAUUUUACUACAUUGUACACCUCAUUAUUGCAGACCAUAAGAGAACAGACCAUUUUCAUGAUGCAUUGCAGCACAGUGAGGGUGCUGCAGUACAACAUUCUCACUUUUGAAAUACAAUGUGAAAGGGGCUUUGGAGUAGGGAUACCAUGAAUAACCAGUGCAAUAGAGCUUUAUAAGCAGAAGUAUAGCACAGCGAAGACAGCCCUCAAUUUUGUAACGUCAGGUUUAAUGUUUGUACAUAGAGGGCAGAGUUUUUCAGAGUCGGCCAGUAAAGCUGAUUCUAAUUCUGAUACAGUAUGACUCAGUGCCAAAACACGCCAGCAUUCCGAAUGUUGUGUAGCUGCUUUGCCCUUUAAAGAGGACAUGACCAUGCUAUUUCAGUCACACCUAAACCCCCAGAUGGUCUAGAGUUUGAUGGCACACUAGUCAGAGUUAAGAAAGGUGUUUUUCUUGUCAUCACAGUAGAUGUUUCUAACCCAACGAAUCAUGACGUUGUUGUGCCAGGCAAAAUUGAAAUUGGGACAAUACAAACUAUAUCCAGUGUGUUGCCUGCUCAGAUUUUUGACAAAACAGAGGGGUCUAUUUUGGUGCCUCGCCGGAGACGUGCCGCAAGCGCAGCGUCAGUCAGAUCCGCCGCGCUGACAAGGCGUUCCCAAGCACAUUUUGGUAUUUUGGUGAGCCGCGCAGCCCGGCGUAAGUAUCCCCCCUCCCUAACUCAGCUCCUCCCAGCACCAUAAGUCGUAGACGGGGAGGAGAAAGGGCGUGUAGUUGGUUUAACACAGCCGAGACCUGUUUUCACCAAUCACAUAGGCUCCUCUCCUUGCCUUUAAAUCCGCCACAGGCGAGGCGUAUUACUAUUUUCAUGGAGAAGUCAAAGAGAUCAAGAGAUGUCUGAAGACAGUUAUGCCACAAGAUGGCGACAGAGGGCAGCUCCUCAACAAGUGUCCUCCACACUCUCUCAUCUGAGCACAGAUGGAUUGGGUGUGUGUAAUGUUGGACCCACUGGUAAGACAAACAUCCUUUUCCACAAAUAAAGACACUCACAUAAAGUUGCUCAUAUUCAAACCUCACGUGACAAAGGUGGGUUUAGCGCACAGAUCACAACAUAAACUCCAAAAAUGGCAUUAAAAUCAGAACCAUCUGUGCGUAAAUGACGCAUCGCGCUCCGUGGCCUGGCUCUUUCUUUCAUAGAUGUUGGCAUAUAAAAUAAAUUUGGCUCACAAAACUGAAUAUUAUAAUAUCCGUAUGUCGGCUUAAAGUAGAUAACGCAUCUGAGCACUGAAACAAAUCAUCUGUUCAGCUGCAGCAGCAGCAAGACGGACAGAGGACACGGAGACGUGCCCAGGUCGAGCUGUGCGAGAAAUAAGAGGAAGAGGAAGAAAGAAAAGGAGGGAGACGAAUUACAUAUCUUGUUAACUUCAUCAUGUGUGUAUAUUUACUAGAUAUUUAAUUUAAUUUGAUGCGGUUUCAGCUGUGUUGAUUCGGUCAGGUUGUGUGUCCAAACGCGUGCCAAACGCGCUCAUCAGAUCAGAUAUAGAUCAGAAUAUAUCGAUAUAGAUCUAAAUGUAUGUGCUGACUCAGAUUAAUAGUUGAUGAUGAUUAUUUAUUGCACUGAAAUGUGCCUGACACUGUGGAAACCUGCCGGUGAGGCAUCAGUGACGUAUGCCGAUACGCCGCCGGUCUACCAAAAUACUACUGGACCAGCUGCGUUCCGCCUUGUGCUGAAAGCUGACCAGGUUUGAAUCGGCGAGCUUUCAGCGCACGUUACACGCCGUUGGCGAGCACGAAAAUGUCACUGCGCCAGCUGAUUCUGUCGACACCUCCCCCUGCCACGCCACCACGCCCAGCUUGGCGGAUCUCGGCUCGCCUCCAUGCGGCUCAUGCCACGAAAAUACCAAACUGGCCUUACGCUGGGCUCCGCCAGACGAAAAUACAACUGCGCGGGGCUCGCCGCCCUCUGCCGCCUCACCGGCGCGCACGAAAAUAGAGCCCAGAUUCUGAAAACCUCCUGGGAAAAAAAAGAAAAACUCAAUAAUUCAGAGUGACCUCGUUAUGGUUCAUAUAAAAUUUUCAUAAAGAUUUUUUAUCUGCUUUAUUGGCUAUUCAUACGAAAUUAAAAAUGUGCACUUAUUAUUUUUCCCUAAGUACUCCACUUAAAAGAAAGACCAGCUUUUCAUAUGAAUUGUGCCCAUGAAUAAACUGAAUCAAAGAUUGAGUAGAUGAUGUGGAUGAUGAUGUACCUUACCACUGUUUAAUUUUUAAAUAUUCUGUGGUAGUAGUUAACAGUUGUGCACAUAUUGGUACUAAAAUUGCACUCUACCACAUCCCUCAUGUUGUGUUCACAGUAAGCACAAUUAAAACCAUCUACUUAUUUAUUUGAUGCAUGUAUUUUGAUGCAUACAUUGUUGUGUAUUUACUUGCCUAAUUUGUGUGUUUGUUUUGCAUCUGCAGAGAGCCUAAACACGCAAUAGAGGAGACGGAUAGCGGAGGAGCUUCUACAUGUAAGGUCAGUCUGUUAACAUCAAACAUAAAGGUUGAUAAUCAGACCUCCUCACUCGCUUUCCUCUAGCUGAGCUCUUUUUUUAACUCUUGUCUCAGUGUCACAGAUAAGCUCUAUUCUGCAGCUCAGGUGGUCGCAUGCUGUCCCAGUCAGUUAAUCCUCCAUUUUCUCUGUCUGCAAACAACACUUCACAACAGGAGAUCUGCAAUUAUAGGCUGUACUGGCCGACUGUAGUCACACCAGUGUAAAUUAUCACAACUUUUGUCAACUCUUCCCGGUUUCUGUCUGUGAACAAGUCCUCCAAUGCCUGUUCUGUUUGUAUUUUAGGUAUGUAGUGCAGAGUUAUACCUGUACUUUCAGUAUAGCUAGUCUUCCUUUCUGAACAUGAUCACAUGAGUAUCAAGUUCAGAUACUAAAAUGUGAAAAAUCACAUCUUUGGAAGUAAAAGAAUCAAGUAAGUAGGCAGAAAAAAAUAGAUUCCCACACUAAAAUCCUGUGCAUUGUCUGUGUAAUUGGGCGUGUACUUACUGCAGCAAGGCUGGGAGAUUCAUCAAUGGAGGCUGGCAGAGGCAAUAACCUCACUCAAUAAUAAUACACAUCAAUUCAAUAUGGGUCCAAAAGUUGACAAGCAACAAAUCAGAGAAAUUGUGUUUCCAGUGUGUUUUCCCUCCUAUAAGCCCAAAUCUUAUUGAACAUGGUAGUAAUGAUGAUCAAUCCUAUCUUGCAAUGUAUUCACUUUUUUACAGACAUGACAGAGGGAACAGGAGGGAGGAAAAAAAAAAAACUAAUUUAGCAGCACAGUGGCAGUGAAGUGGAACAAGCUGCUUACUGGAUGAAAACCCCCCAAACUCCAGCAGGUAUCAGACUACAGCUGGGGUUUGAGGAGCUGUGUGAAAAAUGUCUUUUGAUCAAAAUGCAGCAUAAGCCUUGAGGGGAGAGUGGAAGAUGGUUGUUUUUAUGAAGUGUCCCAAUGUCCCAUUUGUGCAUCUGUUAUUGACGGGGUUGCUGAAGCUUUUGUUUUGUCUUCCAAAAAAUGUUAUCAAGAGGAAAAAGUCAGUGCACGUGUUAGCCUGGAGGGUUAAUCGACUUGGCUGAGCUACUGUCACAGACUGAGCUCACGUCUAUAGGGUCAUUCUGUGGACAAUUACACACAAAGCCGACAUCGCUAUCGACAAAUACUCCAGUCUACAGAGACCGUGAGUCAGACAAAGGUUCAUUACGGUUUUCUGGCAUUUAUUGGUGGCAUUUGCUUUCGGAUACAUGACCCACUGGGACACGUUUGCCCUUUAUCUGGGUGGAUAGAAACACACUUGGCUUUUAAACGUUUUGUGGAGUCUGGGAACUUCAAGAUUCUUAUUUAUCAGCAGUUUGUAUCAGAACGUUAUUCAACAGGAAAUCAAAUCCAGGAUGCAAAGCGGCACUCAAUAACAAUAUAUCAACAUUUGAUGGUAUAAUAAAAAUAUGUAGCUGCCUUAGCACAUUAACUGGAUAUUGAUUGUGAAUCCACAUGACCAUAUGAGAUCACAGCACCAAACAGACACCCUUAAGGAACCACUCAUUCUCCCUCAGAAGUUUGUUAGCACUAAAACAGAAACGACAGUUAGACAGCUAUUGGACCAACUUUAAUCAGGUUGUCUGAACAGUUCUCUAAUAAAUGCUUAUCAAACAGCUUAGAUCAUAAUGUCUGUUAUUAAAUGUAUCUUAGAGUUGUAAUCCACAGGUGUCUAAAAGUAGGCUCAAAACUUUGCUUCUUAUAGUAAGAGCUGGUUUCGUCCUGGGCCAGCUCUUGGUUAGGCUGCUUUAGGUUAAGACUACAGGAGGUACUGGUCCCUACUGCAUUUCCCCCUAUCCCCUCUCUACACCCAGUGCAGUCGGGGCAGAUGACUGUCCCUCAUGAGUCUGGUUCAGCUCCAAGGUUUCUUUCUGUUAAAAGGAAGUUUUUCCUCUCCAUUGUAACUUGCUGCAAAGUGUCACACUAGUAGUUCUGUUUUAUUAUAAAUAAUGCAAAUAAUGUUUAGAGCAAAAUCAAAAAUGCUGCCUGACUCAAUACAGAGGUUCUUUUCAAUUCAGGACAGUCCGUGUAAUCUCAGAGGUGCUUGCAAAUUUACUGAACAAAAAGCUAAAAAAGGUAUGAAAAGGUGAUCAGUCUCCAAUACUGGAACUAAAUUCUGGAAUGAUGCCAACAUAAAUCUAAAAACAUGUCUUUUUUGGUUUUUAAGAAAAUGGUUUGUAAAGCUAUUUUUGAAGCUUAUAAGUGAGAUUAAUAAUCUGUUGUUGUGGUUUCUUUGCUUUUCUGGAGGUCGGUAGCCUAAAAAAGUUGACAACACAGGAUAGGCUUUUAUAGGCAGUCUGCGUCUGCCUUUUCAGUCAAUAUUCAACACAUGAUUCUUGAUUUUGUGAUUUUGUGUGAAAUGUCAAUAUUGUGUACAAUAAUUGGUGUUGUCAUGACUGAAUAAACGACUACUACUUCUACUACUACUACACUAGUAUUUAAAGAUGGGAUGAGAGUGGGUCUGAUCUUGCAAGAUGUGGCUCAGUAUAAUCCCAUAUUUUUUGUUAAGCAUCUUUGGGAAACACUUGUUGUGGAUUGGCGCUAUAUAAAUAAAGAUUGCUUGGUUGGUUUAUUACCAAUCAAUUUGUCUUCACCCCACCAAAUUUCAGCUAACGUUAUCUCAUGACAUUUAUAGAUCAGGUCUAGACCACUUUUUUUGCCUUAUUAACAUCAACUGAAAUAUUCUAUCAUGAGCAAGCACUUGGAAACAGUGGCAGGGAAACUUAUUUUUAACCAGCAGACACCUCGAGACACUGGGAGGCAAUCAACUCAGACUAGAUGAGGCAAGAUAAGCUUCGGAGACUUUAGAGAGAGUCAGACUGGCAAGGUGACAGACAGAUAAACCCCACACAAUGGUUAAAACUAUGACAUUAGGGGAGGUAUUAGAAUAUUUUCAACAAUAGAAAUGUGACUAAGCUAAUAACCACCUUCUCAGGCUGCUCUCAUAUCUGUGUUUAUGAUCAUUAUUACAUGAUUCUUAAGACAGAGUCAACAGGCAGUGGAAUAUACCAGAGUUCUUCACAAUGUCUGAUUUGACUUGUGAGAUCAGUUUGCUGAAUUUGCUGCUGAGAAGGGUUUUUACAAAAUAGCAAGUGUCAAGGGAAGGAAUCGAGCAUUUCACACAGCCAGGUAAUAAUUAUGCAACAAUGAGACAUUAAUGUAUGAAGGGAGUAGAGCAGAGUGCACACCCUAAAAGUAUGGAAAAUGGAAAUGUCCUUUUCUGCUUACACCAAACUUUGAUGGUUAUUAUCCUUUCCUACAAUUCUCAGGUGUCGUGGCAAACUCUGCACGCCUGGGGCAAAUCAAGAAAUUGCUACCAUUUAUUUUGCAUAUUCAGCAGAAAUUCACCUCUGGGUCUGCUAAAUGAAUCCCAUUAUACUUGAAAACAACACAGCGCUGGGUGUAGGUAAAAUCCCAAAGGUCCAAUUUUUCAAACUGAAAUGAGCCAUCUGAACCAGUCAGGUCAUUUUUCAGGUUAGUAAUGCCCAUAGCUAAAAUUGGAUCGUGCACCUGCACACUUUUUGGCCGUGUUCUGUAGGACAUUUUUCACUCAAUGCACUAGGAGUCCGCUCAUAACCCACAGGCUAAAGCAAGUUAAUUAAGUCUGAGCGUCUUUCAACUGGAAAACCUGGGAAACUGCUGCUUCUUAACUUAAGUAGAAAGUCAUAUUACUCUUGAUGUUGCUACUCUCUUUUGAGCUGACAAAGGCGGCACAUACUCUGAUAGUAUUUUUCAACCAAUCAGUUUCUUUGUUUGCUCGAUACUAAUGAAAUAUCAAGGAUUGAAUCUUCAUUGCAAAGGAGAUAAGAUGCAACAAAUAGAAAAAAGGGAUUUUAUUGGCACUGCUUUGAAACACAGGUUAGAUGUCUAGUAUUUCCAAUCUAUGAGUAUUUGCCAUUGUGAGCAAAAUUGUGGAAAUAAAGGCAAACUUUGGAAAAGUUGGAUGAAACUCUGUUGUCAUGACAUCUGUGCACAUGUCAGUUCAAAUCAGACCGUGCACAUUAUUUCAGUAAAAGGUACUGUUAAAAAAAACAGAAACUUACUUAUCUGAUGCUGCUCCUGCUGUCCCAAGAGGGGACAACAUAGUGGGCGUUGGUUGGCACAGAUGAUUGUCUAAGAGCCAGUCCCAAUUGUAACUCUUUCCCAUACCCCUUGGUCUCACCCCUUUGUCUACGAGGGCCAAGGGGAAGGUGAAAACACACCCCUAAGAAAUGAGACGCCACCCAAUAUCCACUACGUUAUCAUGCCUUGCCUCUUGUUGGCUGUGUCAUGGGCUGAUGCGAUAGUACCGGUAAACAAGUUGGAAAGCAGCGCCCACUGUUGCAAUGUUUAUCUGUUGUUAGCUGUCGUUAGCCAUUGUUAGCAUUACCCAUUGAACACAACGCAUAACCCAGUAUUUUACCCAUACAAGAGCUCCUGAUGUAGCUUUUACAUUGGAAGCUACAUCAGCUAAUGUAGCUAGUACAUUAGAAUUUACUAAUGUACUGAAUGUAGCUUAGCUGUCUGAUCAUUCGGUCUAAUCAUUCAUGAAAUGCAGUACAUCAAAGUGUGUCCUGUGAAUUUGCCACCCAAGUCCCGACACUAGUUAAGCUAUCAUUAGCUAGCUCAUUAUAAUGAGCAGUGUUAAAAUGCAAACAAUUCAAAACAUGGCUAAUAUUUACUUGAAGUAGUAACUAUUGAAAUAUCUGAUAAAAUCGUGUAAAAUCUCACCUCUUGCUUUCAAGUGAGGUCCUGUUCGUCUUUGUUUUAAGGGCUGCGUGCCUCUUGCAUUUAGCCCUUCCCCUUAACCUUACAGAGAACUGCAUACCCCUUUGCUUGUCAUGAACGCACAAAAUGAGGACUCAGGGGUAAAACAAGGGAUAACUGACGUCACAGGGGAGACAAUAAACACAUGUCAGGUUACUUUAAUUGAAAAAAUAUAUAUAUUUUCCUGCCACCUCUAAGAGGGGUUUGAAUCAUUAUUUUUGAGUGUAUAGUGUCUGGGGUCAAAAGGCUACAAAGGGGGACAAUUUUUUCCGGUCAUCCAUCAAUCUCAAUUCAGUCUGUCUUCAUGAGAAAAGCCCCGUGACAACCUGUCAUUGUGUCCUUACGGCUGCUGAAGCACCAUUCAGUCAUCCACAGAUAUGUGCAGUUCAGUCACAGGGCAGAGACCCUGCUUCUUUCCACGACCAACCCAGUCAAUCAUCGCUGAGCUGCUCUGAGGAUUUCACCAUGACCGGCUCAGAGCAGAUAUGCAGUCAACAAGCAAUACAAUAGGAAAAGGGCCCUGCUGCAGAAAAUCCUCUGAUACGUGAUAUGUGAGGAGCCGUAAAAUAGUGAUCUGAAUUAAAAGUGAGACGAGAGUCAGCCCAGCAGCAGAGGAGAACGCCUUGUUUUUGCACUGACAAUAAUCAUCAACUUGAGUCUUCAACGUAGUUUCCUGAAUCUCUGAGAAAACAUUUAUGAUGCAGUGUGGACAAUUAAUCACUGCAGCGUUUCUCAAACCUUUUUCAGUCACAGCACGUUUUAAAAGUGCAUAAAAUUUCACAGCAGUUAAAACAUAUAAUUAAAAAUGACACUGCAGAGCCAAAAUGUAAAUGCAAAUGUCCUGUUUAUUUAGACGGGAAAGUGUUGGUGAACAGAGCGUAAUAAGAACUGAAAAUGCACCAGAGAUAAGCAGGAAUGUUUCUUUCCAUCCAUGCCUCUGUAGUCUGCACUACACACACACUUUUGCAAGAGGCUAAUUGAUUUUGAACAUUUGACUUUUAUCAAAAUAUUCAGAAAAAUAGGGCAGAUUUUCCCGAUGUGCAGUUAAGAACCUAGUUUAGACUUUUCCAAAAUGUUCAAGUUGGUAUUUCUCUAAGUUCUGAUUGAGCUAGAUCCAAACCGUGACCAAUGAUGUCUGCACAGAGAGGUGUUUAACGCAUAUGGGUCCAGGCAAAGAUAAAUCUCAUCUUAACAACAGCCAGUAAUCAAGUGGACCAACAUACCAGAAGUAGACAGUUGAAUAUGUUUUAGCAAUAAGAAAAAACUGCAUACAGUUUUGUAAACAGCAACUAUGGCUUAGCGGUAAAAAACUUAGUUUUAGAGCUUAUUUUCACCCACUGCCUCUAACAUUUUAUUUUAGGGCAGCAACAUCUCCUUACAUAGAGGACUUUCAUCCUUGGAUGUGGAAGAUGUGUUUUUGUAGAUGUCUGGAGUGGAGUGCAGACAACAGAUUUUGCUCUACUUUCCUGCUCUGCCAUGAUUGAGGUCUCUCUCUGAGGGCUGCUUUUGGCAACAAAUCAAAGGAAAACAUGGCCCACUUAAACUGCAGAGAAUCCACAUGUGUGUACAAGUGGCAAGAGCUUCAACUAUUGGUUUGACAGCUCAACAUGAAGCUGGGGAUUGUUGUAUCAGGAUGAGAACAGCCCUCUUAUGGUCAGUUUAAAAGCUGUGCGUCAUCUCCUCACUGCAUCAUAUAUAUAGAUAAACAAGGUUACAAGCUCUCCUGACUUGAAUUUCUUGUCACCAGCUAAAACAAGGGUCACCUGUGGCCACCAAUCAGCAUGUCUUGCUCUGUCAGAGCAAUGUUGUGUCAUGGUUUGGAAAUUAGUUGGCUGUCAAAAAGAAAGAUAGGUAACAUUACAGCUCUGUAAUUUUAAUCAGUCAAGGUAGAAAUUGAACAUACGGAGGGUACAAGCCCAAUAAAGCAGCCAGGGAAAGAAAAGACCUGCAAGAUGAGUGUCUCAGCUGAUGAAUGAAAGUGAAUCUAUAUAAUCAUUGUGUAAUUAUAAGUUUGAAAAUUUGAAACUAUAAUGGAAGAAUCAUUGCGGAAUCAGCGGCACAAACACAGACUUUAUGGUGGCCUCAGCUAGCAUGAUCUCAUAUCCAGUUCACAAUCUAGAAAAUCAAUGACAUGCCUAUUUUGACAUGCCAUGACAUGAUUGACAUGCCUAUCUAUGAAUAGUUCAAGACAUAAAAAUGAAUAUUCAAGAUACCAGGAUGUGAGAUAUAUUGACUUCAUUGUCAUUUACCUGAUUUGCAGUGACAACAAUGCAUCAAAACUGUGAUAAUUUGGGUUGUAUUUCCAUCAGCUAUAUUCAUAUUUCAGGCAUGAAAACUACAGUAUGGCAGUACUAAAGAAUAAUUUUUGAAUCCAUUUUCCUUUCUUUAGAGAGACUCUUCUUGUUUUCGCACAGUGCUUUUAUUUUGAAAUUCUGCCCAGGACACUUAUUUGCCAUGAAUCAACCCACUUGUAUUCCUCUUUAUUUGAAUUGAGCAGGUUAGCUGUAUAAAUGAAUAAAUAACACCAGGUAACAGGAAAUACUUGCCCUUCCGUGAUCUUAAGUGCCCCUAAGUGCCCUCCCUCUGCAUCCUGCAUUAAUGUGCAGCACCUGUUUUGAAUGAAAAUAGGAUCUCUGAUAAGAUUGACCAACAAACACCAAAUGACAUGCUCCAAUAUGGAAAAAAGAAUAUCAAACUCAUAAUUUGUUGGGCCUCAUAAUGCAUUCCGUUGGCGACUGUUUCCAGGAAAGACAGUGUGCGUUGUUUAAAAAAUCAUUGGGGGUCAAGCCAAUUAACCGAUCUGUCGUCCAUCCAGGGAACCGCAGAUUGACUUCACUGAUAUAAUAUUAACAUACUGAUAACAAGAGUUCUGCUUUUAUUGAUAUAUUCUAUUCCAUUGUGUGAUAUCUUUAAAAACUGUCAGUGAGUUUGUGUUAUCAUUAUUGCCAGUCAAAAAAAAAGAUAAAAAAAUCAAGAUUAGGUUUUCAAAAAGUCUUUUGAAAAGGGGGGAUGGGGUGUCUGAUAAUCAGGGCUGCCCUGUUUUCAGGCCCAAGUAGUAAGUACAUCAGGCAGUCGACAUAAUGGUGCAUAAUAAUUAUUAUACUAAGUAUGGUUUAGAGGUUGGCUGUGUAUCAACAUGAGCCCUCAAAAUUAAAGCAGCUCAGUAAGGCUCAGGGAUUUUGCAUUCCAAAUACUUCCUCUGUGUAUGUAAAUUGAGUCUGAAGCUUUCUGGCAGGUAAAAAGCUCAGACUGAUGCAUGAAUAGGAAAUGAGGCAAAGAUGACUCGGUAUGUGAAGACGUUAUUACAUCCAAAUAAGGCUUUCCAUUCAUUAGAGUUGGAAAACUGAGUGAAACAGUAAACAGAGCAGAAAAUAAAAUAUGAUAAAUCUGGGUUUCACGGUGAGUGCCAGGCAGAGUCCCUCUCUGCUGAAUAGUUGGCUGUUCAAGUAUGCAGUCUGCUGGAGAGGGAGGCUCAAUUCCUGUUAUCACUGUUUAUAUUAAAGUCACAUGUCACAUGCUCCAGGAAAAAAAAACACCUGAGAUUCUGAUCAAGUAAAACAGCACCUUUUAAUAUUCAAAGACCUGGUAGAAAUCCUCCGUAGUCAAAGCUGACAGCUGUAGAGGCUCCUUUUGUGGUCCUUAAAUGAAACUGUCUUGUUUUAUUUAUAAGGAGAACAAAAUAUACUUCAGUACAGGGUGCAAAAUAUCAUAAAGCAUGACUGCAGAAAAUAAAAGUGCUGUUUUAAAAAACUAUGUUUAUUAAAAAGCUGAUUGAAUCUAUUGAAUAACCUCCAUUGUGUUGACAUCACCUUAAGAGUAGUCCUUUGCCCCCAGGUGAGGUUUAUCUCUUUGCUCUUUGCUGACCUUUACAUGUAUAAUAUUCACAGUUUUUUAAGAUUAUGCUUCUUUCUAAGUGUAUCCCUCACUAUGAGUCAUUUAUGUUACAGAUUUUAUAAAAGCACCCACACUCUGCACCCGUGGUGGUGAUUACAGGCUUUAAAACAACUGUAUAGAAAAAAAAAUUAUGAGUGCCAUUUUAUUUCUGAUGGCCCUGUUUGUUUUUGGAAGUCACAGAGAGGUAUCUGCAUUUUAGUUUAUUUACAACCAGUUUAAAGCUCCAAGCACAGAGCUAGCAGAGAGUUAGCAGAGCAGUAUGACAGACGAGGACUUGUAGAAAAGUGACAUCUCUUGUUCACUUUGUCCUGCAAAAUCCUGGUUUUCACAAGAAGACAAAAGACUGUGAAAAAUGAAGAAUUCCCCUCUCUCCUGAUAAAGUGCGUUGUGUUUUUUGUGACUUAUAUCAUUUGUUAAGCCCGGUGUGAGGAGUGUUUGAUUGAUUAUGAAACAGCCUAAAGUGAACAGUGAUGCAUCUCUACGAAGCACAAAAGCAAAUGAGAUCAUUGAUAACAAGCCUGGCAAUCCUUAUAUUGUAAUCUUUAAUGCCUGUAACUUCUGUGUGGGGGUAUACUGAAACGAACAUUCAUGGCAGCAGAUACAGCUCACUGGAAAAUGACAAUAGAUAGAUUUUUUUUUUUGCUGACAACAGUUUCACAAGGAAGAGAUAAAAUUAGCUAUUAGGAUCCCCACCUUGUCCACAGGGGACGCCAAAGUCAACACAUACAAAAAGUUCCUCAAAGUAGCUUUGUCCAGUUGGUAAAGAGAAAGUUUUAUUUCAGUGUAUUUUUAAGUGGGGCUGUAUGAGGUACUUGUUGAUUACAGUUCCUACAAUCCCAGAACUCUGAACUUUUGGUGCGUUCCAGUUGUACUCGGAAGUCAUAUUUCCAAGGUCAGAAAGUCGGACAAUCCUCACCAACCCUGACUUAACGACAAUGUCGUAAUCCAAGAUGGCAGCGCAGUGCAUCAACAGUAAAGAGUAACUGUGAAAGCUCUUGUAAUGUAGUAUUUAUUAGCACUUUCAUUUUGGUGAAAUUAAAUAAGUGGUUUAUGUUGUACUGCCCAACGUCUAACUGUGACCACGGUGCUAUGGUGUUUGUAAGAGUAAAAUACUGUGUUAUGCGUUGUUUCCAACUGGUAUAGCUGACAACCGCUAACAACAACUGAUAACAGCUAAUGACAGCUGACAAUUGUUAACAACAGCUAACAACGGCUAACAGUAGGCGUCCAUCAUGGUUUUCCCACUUGUUUACUUGAACGCUGUUAACUCGGAUGUCAUCAUUCCCAGCUCUGACAGCUGACUUCCCAGGUAACUGGAACACAGCAUUUGCUUCAAUACCAGUGUUACCAAGGCAAACAAAAAUUAAACUCAUGGACACCCAAAGCAGUUCUCAUGUAGACACAGUAGUCACUUGAUUGCAGGCACUACUUAUGUUUCUUCUUUUUUACCUUUUGGCAAAAGCAGCAAAAAGCAAUGAGAGACUACGUUGCUCUAGGGUAGCAUUUGUUGAGGGCUUAAGUUACUUUAAAGAAAAAGUACAGUAUCAAGACAAAGCUGCAAAUAUGGAGGCUAUACCUAGAAUGUUGUACCCUGUUAUAAAGUUAAACUUUUAAUUGAAUUGCAGCAAAUGUUUUUGCACAGGCAAUGUUUUGUUCCAGAGAAACAAAGUUCUUUCCUCACUGCACCAAACAGUUCUAUAAUUGACUUAAAUAGGACUUCAGUUUCUUCAACAUGUUGCAGUGACUUGUGUAACCUCUUUCAGCCCUGGUGUCUCCUGGAGGGCUGAAGGGUUGGUAAACAUGUCUUGGCUCUGGGACACCAUGGCUGCACUGCAGCCUCAGUCACCUGUUUAAAUGGAGAAAACACAAUCGAAGACAUGACUCACCCUUUUCUACUUUGAGACCACACAGAAAGAAACUCACAAGUUUGAUGUUCUUCUUAAGCUACACCUCAAGUUAAAUGACUAUACAUGAUGCAAACGGGUUUGCUCAUUGGCUGACACUGACUGCUUAUCCUCUCUACCUUGCGUUGAAGCGAAAAACAAACAUGGCCACAAAUGAAUGAAUUAUGGCUACAAAUCAUGUUUUCAUUCCGGCUGUUAAAUGUUGCUUUCAAAAUGUUGGAGCUCAAGUAUGAACUACACCUUUUUUAUGGGUUGUGUAGAAGUAGAAUACUAACAUGAGAGUUUUUUAAAGUUUACUGGAGCAACAGAUGAUCAGUUCCCAGAUGACAGAGGCCUAUUUUUUUCUGAGAUGUCACCAGAACUACCCUGCUGAGUGUUUUCAUGUCUUUCAGCUUACUAUUUUGAUUUAAAGGGCCACAUUUCAACUGUUUUUGGUCUAUUCUCACAGCUGUAGACAAGUUUUCAUCAGAAGAAAGAAGUUGUUUAUAACACCACCUCCAAAACACACUCUGUAAAGCACUUAACAGCAGACAAUCUCACCUAAGAGCCACCUGCCAAGACAGUACAGAGAUUUUUCCUUGCGGGUGUGAUGGAAAAUAGAAAUCACAGUUGGUAAUAAUUGGAAAUUUUUAUCAUGCAACGUUGGUCAUCUGAAUAAGCAUCUGUUUGUUUAAAUAUUGGCCUGAAAAUUUACAAGUUGAUACGCAAUGUUUGUAUCCAAACUUGCCCUCAAACAAGCAAGGAGCCAUCUCAAAGUCAUCACAGGAUAAAAGGAUUGGAUAUAUUUCAUGCUGAUUGACCAUGUUGACCAUGUUUAUUGACUAUUUUAACAAUCUAUAAAAGUUGAAUCAUCUCUUCAGGAGGAUUUUAUCUCUCUUUAAACUGUGACGGUAGUAAAUUUUCUCCCAGCAACAACAAGAAGCUGCCUUUAAAUGAGAUUUAAUCAGUAAGCAGUCAUUUAUAAAUGGACUCAGCAGUCAUGCAGGAGAUCAGCAGUGUCCACAAAGUGAAAUCCUCUCAUGUCCAAUACAUCAAUCUCUUCAAGGGGAGUGAUGAAAAAGGACCCGUUCCCAUACUGCAGACAGCUGCAACUCUUUUGAUCAGCUUUAUGGCGGGUUGUUGUCUAACUGAGUAAGAACAUAAGAUUACACAGACAGGAGUGUGAGUGGGCUAAUGAGGCAAACCAAGCAUGAAAACGUUCUGUUAUGGGACUAAUAAAGGGAAAAUCAAACAGCGAUAUCAGCAUUCACAACGUAUUUUUGACUGAUUUUGAUUCAAGUCUCACUUGAAAGAUGUGCAAAAAUGUAAAUAUCUGUCCUACAUCUACUCCCUGUGUCCAGCUCUUGUCCAUCUCUAGACUGUUUAGCCAACCAGCAAAAAAAACAACACAAAGAAAAUAGUUCAACUAGCAUUAUACUUACCCUAUUUUUCGGGAGAUAAGGCGCACUGGAUUAAACAGCGCACUGUGAAUUAAUGUGUCUGUUCACACAUAUGGUGCACUGGAUUGUAAGGAGCAUUGGCACACUGGCGCAUUGAUUGGUUUAUUGUUGCUAGUGCGUACUCCAGGCCCGGGCUGCCUCACAUGAAUGCACUUCUAGUUUAGACAUUACAGUCAGGCAGUCUUGUAGACUGCUCAGGGGUCCUGUUACGGGGCUGAUCAGGUCGUGACACAGCGUACUAUGAUGAUUCAAAUAUCCAUUCAGCGGAGUGGCCUUGUUGCUUACCAGUGCACACAUUUCGACAGAUUUUUGAGCGCAUUGUACCACAUAAAAUUGGUCAGCAAGUAAUUGUACAUAAGGCGCGCUGGAUUAUGAGACACACUGUCAACUUUUGAGAAAAUGUAAGGAUUUUAAGUGUGCCUUAUAGUCUGAAAAAUAUGGUAAACAUAUAUAUAGACAAGAUGUAAAUGUGACUGGAAAUAAAAAUGUGAAACUUAAAACCAAAAGGCUUUUAGUCAAAUCAGUAAAAAUAAGUCAUCUUGUAUACUCAGUGGACCCGUGGAAUUAAUACUACACAGCUAGUUAAGUUUCUGUCACUUUUUAAAAAAUUUUUGUAGCUCCUUAAUGGACAUGGCAACAUGUAAAACUGGACAAUUACUUUUUGACUUCGUAGGUGUACAUCAUCAUCAUCAUUUAUGUAUCCACUGUAACUCACCAGAAAUAAGUGCUCUUCCUCCUUUAAGAGAACUGUCUUUCCUGUGGAGGCAUUUAUAUAAUGUUGGACUUGGACACGAAUGACAUUGUUUUUAAAAAUAAUGAACUCCUUACCUGGGUGACAUUUAAACCUGCAAGAAAGUUUAACCACCGUCACAAUCUUGAACAAUCUGCUCUCAGCUCCACAUACAUUCUGUCAUCUCAUAGAGAGAGAGAGAAAGAGAGAGAGAGAAAAUCACUUGAAUGCAGGGGCAAAAGAAACCACUCAUCAGGGAAUUCAUUUAACGAUAAAUACUAGGUUUGGUAAUGGCAUUGCAGAUGAAAAUGAUAGUUUGGAUGAAUUACACAGAGGACAAUGGCUGAGGAAAAUGGCUGCUUACAAGAGCGGGGACGAACAAUGACGAAUAGCUGGGUAAUAUUAUCAAAGGAAACUGAGAAAAUCACCAGGAGAAAAAAGAGGUGGAUGAUGAUGGAUGAAUUGAGGUGGAUAAAUACGUGAUGGAGGGUGACACUUCCUCACGCCUGUCCAUUUGCUUUUUCCAAAAGUUUUAAGUGAAGAAAAAAGUGAUUUAAAGAAACAACACUGAGAGUAAAGGUGCCCUGUGAACAUAGAAGCAGACUGUUUGUCCUCAGGUCAAUAAAUCAGACCUUUGGGAGUCACAGGAGGGAGGCACAGUGUGACAACUCAUUCACAUCGUUUCUUCAGUCCUAAGCUUCUCCUAAUGAUUUCUUAUCACACUUAAAUGGAAUAGCUAUUAUAUAUCAGAUAGGGAGCGAAGCCUGGGAGCUUUCUUAUGCUGUGAUUGAACAGUGAUUACAGAUCAAUUUCCUUUUUUUAAUGUUCUUUUUAGUUUUGAUGUCUGUGGUAGCUGAUUUUUUGUCGGUGUUGCUCUUAUAAUGCGGUUAGCAAAGAUAUUGAAGAUUCUGCAGAGUGGUCAGUCUAUCACUGAGACUACAACAACUCAAUAAUUAGCGGUUACUCUUACACUUCAGGGAUUCAAGGUUCCAACUGACUUAAUAGACUUUUCAUCAUGUGCACCAAAGAGGUUGACAUUUGGGGUUCAAGGUAAAUAUCUCUUUUGCAGUCCCAUAUGGCAAAGUAAUCUAAGAAUAAACAUAUAAACAUAUUCUCUAUCUGCAUGUUCAACAUUUAGAUUUAGUAUGUGUUGUAUGUUCUGUAAGGCUUUUAUGUCUUAUCGUAUUGUUUACUCAUGAAAGUGGCCCCUGGUGCAGGGGGCUUCCCAGAGGAUAUACUGGGGGUCCUAAAAAUGGUAAAAGGAUAAAAACAAGUAAAAACUAAAAUAUGAAUAAAACACAGACUAUAAAAUAUUUUCAGUAGGUGAGUAGAUGAAUAAAUAUGAAAUACAAAACCUAGACUUAUUAGUAUAAAUACAAAUAAAAUAAAUAAAUAUUAAUCAAAAGCUAAGCUAACAAGGUAGGUCUUGAGCCUGCUCUUAAAAACAUGAACGUUCUCUGAGGCCCUGAGGUCCUCUGGCAGGCGUUUCCAUAGACGAGGGCCAUUAUACUGGAAAGACGUCUCACCAUGAGCGUGUGUCCUGACUUGAGAAUGACAGGGAACCUGCUGCCAGAGGAGCGCAGGGUCCAAGAAUGUUCAUUAGGUAAAAGCAAUUCUGAAAGAUAAGAAGGCCCACAGCCAUUGAGACAUGAAAACAAGUAAAAGAACCUCAAAAUCGAUGCUAAAGCACAUAAGGAGCCAAUCUAUUUUAUAUAUACACUUUAAAAUUAAGCAAGGACAAGCACCUUGAAGUGUAUGAACGAUUUGGAGAAUUAGGAAUAAAGGUAUUUGAGUGACAAGGUAGUGUAAACUUAAGGUUACUGAGCUGUUCAUGAAUCUGCCAGAGAAGAAAAAAAAGCUUAAUAGCAACCCAAUUUCAGCUAACACCGCAGUAUACAGAGCAUGUGAGAUGUAGCAUGUAAGUGGAUGCUAUUCCACCUUCACAUCCUGUGUCAAGGCCACUGCUAACGCUAUCAAAUCUCCAUGCUCUUGCAAUCGAUUCUUGCAUUUUUCUGCUCAACUUCAUCCAACACUUUUAACCAGGAUGCGUUCAGGUCUGCAGAGUCUAUCGGGGAAGUGUUGUUAUCGAUCUCUCACGACCCCUCCACACUGUUUCACCCAAAUCAUUGCUAUGACAGCCAAAGAUGCUCUCUCAGGACCUGACUCUGGGACUUUUUACUUCCACUGGGCCUCAGGUGUUGUGCUGUAAAACACUCACUAAUCCUGACUUAUUGACUUCUCCGAAAGCACAAGCUCCACAACUCAAUACUUCUGUUAAUGAAGCUGUUGAUCACUUUUAUGCAUACUCAAAUUUGCUGUUGAAGUUAAAAACAUAGUUCAUUACUCAGCCAUAAUAGUCUGUCAAUAUGAAUAUUUAAAUCCUUUAGAGAAAGAUGGACUUUAGAUUUAUUAGCCUUUCAAAUAUGAAUUCAUUAAAUUCCUGAAAUGACCUCUAACACACGGAUGCGGUAGGGACUUUUCACAGCUCAAUAUCCUUUUAAUAUCACACAGUGAGAUUAAUUAUUUGAACUCCUGAGUUUGCAGAAAAGUUUCAGGAUCUAUUUUUAAACUUUAAGAUAAACUAGAAUACUGGAACUUUCAUGAGAAUGAUAAACCUGUGUAAAAGAAACCAUCUUAUCUAGGUUUUAUAGCCCUCCCUAUGCUCAUCAUAUUCAGAUUCAGAUUCAGAAAACUUUAUUGAUCCCAAAAGGGCAAUUCAUUUGCAGCAUUUUAAGAGCACCUCACACAUACAUAAAAUCACUUGUCAGUCCAUUCCAGUCACAGUGGAACCCAGAUCGAACCGUUACAAAUAUAACACACUACUCGAUCAAAAGAUGCCUCCCCUCGAAUUCAAUAAUUUAAUACGAACACCUAAUUUUACAAAGGUGUUCAUAAACCGGUUAGUUCUCCUAGCCGGAUAUCCCCCAAAGGCUGAAAAAGAUGUGAGAAAUAGAAGUGGGAGAGACCACAAAGAUGCACUAGGGUGACCAAGUUGCCUUAAUUUGUAAUUCCUGUAUGUAUGGUGGCUAGGGUCUGUCCAGGGCUUGCAGCAAAAUAGGCAAGCGGUAGAUCUUUGGCAUAAGGUUUGUGCAACAGCUAAACCUCCACAGGGUUACUCCCCCAGUAUUUAUGAGGAGGAAAAGAGAGAAAGAAAAUAGAUAAAACAUAAAGGAGAUUAACAUUUUCUUUAUUUUGGCCCCCAAAUGACAUCCCCGUCUCUCCUCAUCAAGAUCCACUGAACUUCUUUUACCUCCUUGAGUGUCUCUGCUUUUCUAGUUCUCCACAACUGAUUAUUCGAUGAACCCUCUUCAACCUACUUCUGGACAGGCCUGAUUUUCUGGCCUCUCUGUCUAGUUUCUGUUGCCAACUUUGCAUAUCAAAGCUUUGUGCUUUCACAUGUGUCCUCUGCUGAGUCCCUCCAGGGCACUGUCAGUCCUAUGAAAUAAACUUUAUGCUGACUGUUCAACCAUAACACUUUGUCCAGCUUCAAAGUCGUUCAGACUAUGAUCUAUGGAGUAAGUUUUACCCCUAGAUAACCCUCCAUCUCCCAAUCAUUAGCCUCCAGACCAGUUUAAAACAUUUCUCUCACCUCGCAGAUGAUUACUAAUCACACCCUGUAUUCACUCGACAUCUAAGACUUUCAGUUCCUGCCACUUAAACUAAUACAACUACUUAUGUUGCAUUUUAUGUCAACCUUACAACCUGACAGAAUAAGUCGCUGUCUCUGCACAAAAAAUACCCCCCUAGAGAUUACAGUGUUUAAAUGUUCUCCCUUUUGGUCAUCAUGGUCAGCCUUAAACCUGUCUGCAAAUCAGCUUUUACAGAGGGGUCCACUCUGAACUGCUAGCCUCAGUACGGUAAAGUUUUGACAACAGAUUUAUAAGGCCUGUGGCCCUGAGAUGGAAGCUGUGGGCAGCAAAUACUUCUGUAUAAUUUCCCAAACGGCUUUGGAGUGAAAAGACUGAAGUGGGUUUUGUCUUUACAUCAUUUGGGCUUUUUUUUCCAGUAUUCUCACCUGGUUCAUUACACUGAUGCUCAGUAGAUUGUUACAGCUGAUGUUGUUUUAAUUACUAGCUUCAGAGCUUUGCUGUCCUGUGUUGUGCAUAUCUCAUAUCAGUUAAUGAAGUUUCCAUUUAGGAUGUUUUCUUAGUAGAGCUGUCAUUGAAAUUUUCUAAUCAUAAGUUUUGCCAAAGAAGUUUGUUGUUUUUCAGCUUUAAGUAGUGUCUGUUUUUCACAUAUUAAUUUUACUUGGCCACAGAGGAAGCUGCUGAAAUAUUAUUUAAAUAUAUAUAUAUUUUUUUCAUUAAAUGACUGAUGACUAUUUUGUCAUCAGUUGGAGUCUGAAUCAUCAGCUGUAGAUUUAGUGGUGAAAAGUCAAUUUAGCUGGACUACUGUCUACAUAGAUCACACAGAGAAACACUUAACAAACAAGUUAAGCAGAGGCUAAGGUAUGUCACAGAUGGUGUCCUCCUAUACAACUAAUGGGGCUCUUCCACCAAGUGCGAGUAAAAUCAUCUGCUUGCUUAAUUCAUGCAAAUCAAGACACGUGAAUGAAUAGUAUUUACUUGCUUCAUUCAUGCGUCAACAGUAAUUUCAACGGUAACCCUGCCAAUUUAACCGGCGGGAUCAAGUGAUAGACUAAGGAAUUUACUAGGUGAAUUACCUGGUAUCCUCACUCACUUGCCUCCAGGCGAGCUCCUUAUUAUUCCGGUUUCGAUAAUUGAAAGAAAUGGUAUCAUAUAAUUCAGGGCAUCCACACACAGACACGAUCAAUUUGUCCUCCAUUUUAGAUACCAGUGAACAACCAUCUGUUUUCAUACAUCACCCAGCAACCUUAUUGCUGAUUAGUUAUCACCAUGUGAAUCCGCUCAAGCUGAGACAUAUUGAGCUCAUGCCUAAUCUGCGUCAUUCGCACCGCCAGAGUAGUGGGAGCAUCUAAUUGUGUCUUUGCAUUGACUUAACCAGUAAUUCAGUCACGUAAAUGGUUUUACUCACACUUGGUGUGUGGAGACAGUUAGACUUACGGGUCAACAUCCAGCAUGCAAACUUUGGAUCAUGUACAGAAUGCCUUAGCCAGUUCGGGACAAUUGAGGAGUAUACAUGUCAGAGAAAAUGGAUGUUAGUCUCAUUUGGCAUGUUUUUACAUUUAUUCUAAAAGUAAAUAUUUUUUUCAUCUUGUAGUCGUAGUGUUUGUGUGGUCAGGCGCGCAGGUGGUGGUUUGCCAUCUUCAGGAUGCAGAAGGCGACAUUAAUGCAAAAACAGAGAGAGACAAGCAUCUGCACUCCUACUCAAAAGGAAGUGUUUAUUUACAGCCGAGUGCUCCGAGAUGAGUGCAUAAGCGUGUUUCCCUAGUUUCCUUAUCUUACUUUUAGCAUGAGGCCAUUGGCAUUGACAGCGAGCUCACCGUUUGCUCAAUUUAACACACACUCCCUCUGAUUCGCACAGAAACGUACACACAAGUGAAUAAAUGGUUUGCCGAGUUUCCUGAUAAAUCAAGCACACAGCAUCAGUUAAUAUAAGCCUGCCUGAUACUGCCGGCUCAUACGGAGGCUUUAAUAAUUGAUGGUGUGCUGUUGUGUCAUGUGUGUAAAUGUUAACAGUGUCACUCUUAAUCUAAAAAAGUCACUGAUCAAGUACCGGGGGAACAUCGAUCCACCCAUCAGUAUGAGUCGUACGGUGAUCAGAGAGUGUUCUGAGUAUACAGAGUCAAAAUGGCACAACCUCUGGCCCCCUGCUCUUCCACUGUUAGAUUAGGGUUGUAUACAAAGAGCCCUCUUUGUUUUUCAUCAAGGUAAAGCUAAUGGAGGUUGGUGUGUAAAGGAAGAGGCAGGGCUCAUCUCCGGAGAAAUGCUUACAUCUGAAGAUCUGUAUCUGCUUUGUUGUUGAAUUGCAAUUUGUUCUAGUUCAGUGUCCAUGGAAAGUUCAUUUCCCACAGUAUAUAUGUGUCACUCUGACUCAUUUAUAGGCAACACACUUCCUCUAUCACUGUGAAUCCUUGAACUUUAAAGUCCAAACAACACUGGUUGAUUUGUUGUUUUCUUCCUGUGAGUGAGUGUUGUUUGAAGACAUCAAAAUAAAACAGCCUUACUUAUGUUGUUUAGUUCAAACUCGGCUGCUCACACAAUUCCCAAUGGUGCCACUUUGGUUUUGAGUGUUUUAUGUGCAACCUCAAUGACAACAAGCUUUUGGCAGCUCAACUUCUGUUGUGUAAAGUGAAACAGAUGAAAAAAAAAGGUUAAAAAGUUCUUGUGUUACUUUUGGGGAUAAAGUCUCUAAAACAUAUUCUUGAUGAAGAAAGUCACCAGAGCAGAAAACAAAAGAUGACAUCUUACUUCAUGAGUGGUUUGGCUUAAAAGAGAAAGGUCUAAACACAGAUCCCUGGGGUGCUCCAGUUUACAGCAUUGAUGUAGAAUGGGUGUGACCCCCUAUUUGCAAUGCAGAGUGUCUGUUACGGUGAUGGAGAAUAUCCAGCUGACGAGUAUAACACUAAAAAAAGAGAUCUUUGUAUGCCAGCCAGUUUCAUGGAGGAGAAUGUGUGAAAUGUAUGAUUGAAGAUGAUUUUCAAGGCAGGUAUAGCAGCUGAUAUUCCCUCCUUUGUGGGUCUGUAGCUUUCAGUGUAAGCUGAUGAGGAUCCAGGCAUGAUGGAAUGAUGUCUUUGAUGCUGAAAGGUAGUCUUUUUUUUUUUGACCACACAAUGCCAUCUAUUUUUGGCACAAGGAUGAUGACUAACUUGAAGCUUGUGUGACCACUCCUCUGUGACAGGUGUACGCUAAACUCAUCAAUAAUGUCACCAACUGGCUGGUUGGCACAGCCUCUCAGGGAAGUUUCCAGACUUCGCAGUGCUACUCAUGUUCGCUCUCAGAUGUUGCUCUCAUAAACUACUCAUGACAGCCGACUGUCUUCCAAAUGGAUCACAAUGAAAAAAAAUAAUGUAUGGACUUCACCCUGAAGCUUAGCACAUUAUGGUGGAGGGCCUCGGCUUGUCAUGGAUCAACUGCUACAUCUCUUGGCCUUACUUUAUGAGUCAUACUAGCUUCACACUGAAUGCCCAGGCAAAGUUAACGGAGAAGCAAUAAUAGAAAGGAUCAAUUGACUCAGUGUUACAUGUCAGGCAGUGAGCCAGAGACUACACCGUGCCUUAUGUUCCCUCUCUCUCCUGUAAUAGGUGUUGAUGAACUGAUUGCUGCCACUUGUCUGCCUCAAAAUCAGUGAUUAACCUGCACUCAAGGUCAGUAUUAGAGAAAGCCACUCAGACUCCCCUGUCUCUCUGCCAUUCGUGCUUUCAGUCAGCUUUUGUUGCUUGCAUCUUUUGAGUCUCAUGGUUGGGAAGUUGGAUAUACGUAGGUAAAUUGUGGAUCCCUAAUGUUUUAUUCACUCAGGAUUUUAUUUGUGAGACAGGGGUUUGUGUUUUGUGUGUUUAAAUUUAUGGGUUGGGUUCAAAUUUUAAUCAUGUUUUAGGUUCAUUUAGGUUAAAGUUUUCUCUAUUGGUUAACGUCGCACAGAAAAAAAAUCAAAUUAAUCUAGCGUGAUAUCUACUUCUUGAUGGAAAUAUGUCAUAUAUUAAUUAAUCUAAUUUAAAAAUAGAAAAAAAAUUUGCUUGUUUUGUGUGUUGUUGCUAAAAUAAAAGUAGAUGUGGGUUCUCAACUUAAACACUGAUAAUAAGCUCUUGGUUAAAAGAGUUUGACCUUUUUCCUCAGGACCUAAAGUAUAAUGCCACUGAAAGUGAAAGGUUUUGAUGUCAGCAAUAUUAAUGGUUAGCAUCUUUAAAUAUUUCAUCAAAGUAGUUGUCACCUUUAAAAUUCUGCCCUUGUUUAGCAAACGAUAAAGCCAAACUCCCCUGGUGGUCAGCAGAGAAUGUCAGACCAAGAAGCCAAACUUUCUCACAGCCAAUGAGGAGACAGUUCAGAGGGGGAAGGUUUAGGUUUUUCAGGCUGUUUUCACAUUAGCUAUUCUCUGUGUGUUGUCACUAUAAAUACUCCAAGUCCCCGACAUAUUGUGUUGCCUGUUUAAUGAGAGCUGAACCCUCAGUAUUAAAAUCCAAUAUAAAUUCCCAUACAGCUUGCAAAAGUGUUCACAUGAAUCCAGAAUUUUGAUGUAGGUACAGUCCACAGAGUUCAGCACAGCAUGAUGAAGAGAUGCUGAUGAGGAAGAAACAGUAAUUGGUUAGCAGCAUGAGUUGGCUGCAAAGUGUACACUCAGCAGACUAAAGGGAAAGCAGAGAGAAAGUGAGAAACACAAGUCGAAAUAUAAAAGAACUUUAAAGUGCAGCGAAAUUAACGCAACAACAUUAACAACAAAGAUUAUAGGAAUCACUUCAGCCUGCCUGGGAUACAUACUCGGUGAAAGCGGUGAGGCAACAUAGCGCAGGGCUGUUAUGGUGAUCAAUUUUGGCGCCCCCUGUGGACAAAGGGAUGCUUAAUAUUUCUUGUUCUGCACAUGUGGAAGUUGUGUUUUCUGCCAUAAACUUUACCCUGUUGUCUGUGAGUAAUUGACAUAAAAGGAGGUGAAACAAAAGUUGUUUAUAACCUGCACUCAAUCAUCUGGCCUGACACUCCUUGUUGCUGAUGGUAGUGCUUGCAUUGGAAGGCUAGUCCCUUUCCCAAACAGUUAAAAACUCCUUAUAGUGUCUUUAACAAUAACUAGGAUGGUGCAUGUUUACCAGCAGCCUUUUUUUCUAUUAGAAAGAAGAGAUGCUGUCAAGCUUUAAAAAUAUCAUUGACAACAAAAGCUGGCGUUUCUCGUGUUUGUUUACAACAACAUUCAUAAACCAUGAUUUAUUAUACUCUGUGAAAAAGCCAGCGGUGCAUUAGAGUGAGAGGCGGAAUGAGUCGAGGGGUGCAUUGUUGAUUUUGUCACUCUGCUUUUGUUAACUUUGUCUACUAUAUGUGCACUUCAGGCACAAACUGUCAUUGCCUCGAUGUGUCCUCCUUGUUGUCUUUCCUUGAUGCCUAUCAGUGACAAAACCACAGCUGAAUGACUCUAUAUCAUUUCAUAUAUAAUUAAUGAUGUAGUAAAGAUUGUGAUAAACUGACAGCCCCCCUCCGGUCACAGCAGGUACAGUAAGAGACUGACGUAAAAGUGCAUGAAAACUCGUAUAUAUGUUCAAAGAAUGAUUGUUUAGUUUUCAGAGUUGAAGUAAGGGUAAGUAUUGGGGUGCAUGGUAUUAUCAGGACACUCUUGGUAUUUGCAGGUAGAAUUUUAAGAAAUAAAUCAGCAGUUUUUAAGAUUUCUCUACAUGGGUAUGGUCGCUACAGUGACGCAUCCUCACCUAAUGACAGUAUUCACUCACCAACAAUGUGUUCCGACAUUUUGGCUGUAUGUAAGUAUGUUUUAGGUGGCGGCAAAAGGGGUAUUUGCAAUAGUUCAGAAGCUACAACAAAACUCGUUCAACAUUUCUAAUGUAAUUGUGCAUCUAAAGCACCAUCAUGCCGAAAGGAAAUUUGUCAUUACUAGUUAAAUGAAAAGUUGUUUGUCUUGUUUCUGUCUGUUUCAAAAACAAGUAGACGCUCAUAAAAGGAGUUAUAGAUCAAUUCUUGCACUGGAGAGACUUGGUGUUCUUUACAAUGACAAAAGAGGAGUUCAUAUCAGUAUCUAUAUCAGCAUAUCAGAUAUCUUCAAAAUCCAAUAUCCUGUAUCUCUAUUUUAAUUGCAAGUUAAGCCCUUUUUAUUGCCUUAGUAGCUCAGCAGCAUUGCAUCACAGGAGGAUCUAGGUUGCAUUAUUUAACUAUGGGACUAUAUUAUUUACAUUUUUAAUCUUUAACUUAACUUUGUAAAGAUGACUACUUUUAAACAACUGCGAAUCUAAAUAUUACAUCAAACUAAUGAGAAAGUCCAUCUUUAUUAGUAGCAUUAAAGAUGGGUGCUCAAUGCCAUGAAGAUGUCCUGUGACAAAAAACAGAAACUGCAAACAUACUUAAAAAAAAUCCUGGAUUACAACACGAACAUGUUAACACACAGCUCAUAAAGUAAACACACUGUGUAACUUUCACUGGUGAAAAAUCAACCAUAUGAGACAGAGGAGUAGAUGUCCCUGAUAUCAGUGAGAUGACAGUUAGAGUUAUUCAAAAAGAUAGCUGCAAUGGAUCUUCAUACUCUAAAAUCUUUGUGAUGGACGACCCUUUCAUCUUUGCAUCUGCAGAGAGGAACACUGACAAAGUUUUUCAAAGCCUCCCAGAUUUUAUGUUUUAAGUAUUUUGCAAAAAGUCUGACCAUUCAAAAUAAUGUCUUAGCAUGUAAAAAAGAGCAGCUGUUCAGAGCCCAUAACAUGAGUGACCAAUUCAGGCAUUGAGGGAGCUUACAGUCAGAGUAGUUAAGUAAAGAGUUGAUCUAUUUGAAAUAAGCUGGAGGUUCAUUGCUCUACAAGAAUGAAAAAUUGACACUAAAUUACAAAGUACUUUUAACUUGAGAAAAAAAAGUAAGUUUUAACCUUUUAUUUAUUUAUUUUCCAAGUGAAGAUUGAAUAAAAUAAAGAAAAACACUUGUCAAAAAGAAAGUUUGAAAUGUUGAGUCAGGGAUCAAUCCUUAGAUUUAUUGACAGCAACCUAACCACUUGUGCGCACCUUUCUACCUGAUCACCCAGCUGUGAUUAAUACUUGAUUCUGAUUGGUCAACACCCCUUGGCAACCGUUAUUUAGUUUCAUAACAAAGGCAGUGUGGGGGCAGUCUGUUCACCUUUCACACAUAUUGAAUCAAUCCAAGGAAAUGAGCCAUAGCUUUUACCUCCCCUUGUUGGUGGUGUAACAAACAUGUUCCUGUCCAAUAACACUUGUAGACAACACAAAGAGAGCACAAAGCUUUAGACUGGUGAUUAAUGACUGACCAGUCAUGACUGACCAGUCACUGAAAAAUUUAUCUAAAAAGCAAAGAUAUUAUAUCACCUAGGGUUAAUACAACUGGCUGAGUGAGAAAUAAACAGACAGAAACAUAAUGAGGAAGGGGAUACUAAAACAUGUAGGCUAAGAACCAAAAAAAGGCUCACGUUUGGACAUUAAUGAAUAUAAUAUACAGUAUAUAGUACAUAUAUAUAAAUUUAUGUCCACAUAAGAAAUUAUUUAAAAAAUUACUUUGAUAAUUAAAAACUACUGGAUUAACUGAUGCAUGCCUGACCCUGUAUUUCAUACUUCUAUUCUGUAUCAUGCACCAGUCCUGGAUGUCCAUACUAACCCUCUGCAAAGAUUCAAAGUAAGAGAUACAGGUAUUGGUGUAAUCCCCUUUUCCAACUUCUUUGAACAGCUCUUUUAUUGAACUUUGCCAUACUAGGCCUGAACCUGAUGUCUGGCUCUGCCAACCUAUUUAGGCAAUGCAGAAGUUCACACCCACCCGUCAGCUCCAAUAUACUUCUUUCAGAGACAUGCUCACCCUGUGACAUUAUCGGUCAGCGACAACCUUCAUUGCCACAGCUUGGCUUAUUCUUCCAGCUCUUUGUUGAUUUAGGACAUCUCAGAAAGUUGUUUGAAAGUGUUCUUUUAGUUGAAGAAAUGUCACAGAUGUUCUAGAUGGAAAAGAGCAAGGCACCAGAAAAUAGAGAGAUUUUUUGUUUGGGGACAACAGCCUCAAGGUAGCUCUUUAUGCUUAAAACAUCACUGGUGAUGCCUUUGCAGACAAUAGCCAGGAUAGAGUGGAUUUGCAUAUCAAGUGUAACUGAAACCUGAGGCUAACCUCCUAUUCAGGUUAAGAACCACAAGCAGUAAGGCCCUGUCUGCACGAAAACAAAUUCAGGUGUUUCAUACACACAGAAAAGGUGUUUCAGGUGACUGUAGAUCACACAUUUUGAAAGUGGGUCCAGAGCACACAAGUCCUUAUACACAACUACCGUUUCGUUUCCACGUGGAUGCCUAUCCACAACUUUCUUGAAACAAUUAUGUUACACACAGGGUAUCUUAAGACCUUGGGCGAGUCCAUCACCGACUGCAGCGUGGUGACGCAGCUCAAGGAAGAAUAUUUAUGAUCAUGUCCUCAUGGAAAUGCAAUCAGACCGAGACGCUAAUGCUGAAGAACUACCAUGUCUGCAGUACAAAAUGAUUAAUAUGGUGAUUAUUACUUCAAGGAAAUGAUAAAGUAAUGAUCAUAAAUGUUCUUCCUUGAGCUGUGUCACCCCGCUGCAGUCGGUGAUGGACUCGUCCAAGAUCUCCCUACAAACAAGCGGCUGCUGGAAGAGAGUAGGUGAGUUGUGUUUAGUCUCUUUGCUAAAGAAAUUAGGCAACGUAAAAAGAUGUUUGGUGGCUAGUUAUAUGGCUGGGACCCUAUAUGUACUGUUGAUGAAGUUAGGUGCUGUUCUGAGCAUUAUUUGUGGCUAUAGAGUUGCGUUUUGGUUUUGGCGUGUGGCUCCUGGGACUGCUGUGUAUUGCUAUCGUGCUGUCAUUACUAAAGUUGGUAUAACUAGAGAAGCAAGCGCUUGGCAACAUUAAUCUCCUGAAGGGCUGUCUAACUUGGUGGUGCUGUGUUUGACCCUAACUUAAUUUUAUAAUAACUUAAUAAUAUCCCUUUAACACUUGUACUCUGACCAGUAAAACUUAGUAAAAGCUCUGCAAUAAACUUACCAGACUGAGUAUUUGUGUUCAACCAUGUAUUGAUGCAGACCAGACAGAUUCUUCUCUGGCAGAGACUCUUGAGUCCUAAGAUUAAUCAAACCCUGUCUGUUUUACAAAAAAGUGUCUCACUCUGCAGCAGCUGAUCUCAUGGUCCAUCAUCAGAAAAAUGAGUUGUCCUAAUUCAUGAAAGCUAAUUUAUCAUUAUCUGUCCUAACAUCGGCAUAUCAACAUCUGUCUUAAAGAAAUGGCAAGGUUUUUGUCUUUUUUCCCUAAGUGCUUGUUCUGUCAAGUUGUUUGGGUGACGGCUUUGAUGCUCAAAGCUUUUUGGAAGAAAAAAAUGCCAUCAAUCCCCCUCAUUGUUUGCACACAAUCUGUCAUUCCCAUCCUUCCAUCCAUGUGCACAAACCCUGCUGCAGAACGAUUAUGUCUAUUGACCAGGACAGAUGGGUCAUGAACGUCUGAGUUCAGACAUUCUGAAUGCCAGCGCACAAGCGCAACACAAUGGAACCGAAUACGAUACGGCUUCAGUGUGUGUUCAGAUGUGACACUGCCAUCUGCCAUCAUCAUCGCAAAUGCUUUAUGAAAAAUAAGAAAACUCAAGUUUUAAGCAGAAACAUAAACCCAAAGUUUGUCAGGAGUCUGGACUGCAGGGUUUCUGUCCCUUUGUGCAGCUGACUUUUUCUAUUUUAUAUUAACAUUGACAACAGAAAGAACAGCACCGCAGGGUCAACUUUCAGCAGAUAAAAAAGACGUGUGAGGAUGUUACAUAGAGUGGGUUUCAGGUCAAAGGUCAGUAAUCAGACAAGUCUGAUGCAUGCUGUAUGAAGAGUCAAAGAAUUUAUUAAGUCGACUGUUGUGAAAAAUUACAAACCCCAAUUUCAGUGAAGUUGGAACGAAAUGAAUAAAAACAGAACACACUGAUUUGCAAAUCGUUCUCAACCUUAAUCAAAUUGAAUCGACUACAGAGACAAGAUAUUUAUGUUCAAACUGAUUAACUUUAUUGUUUUUUGCAAAUAUUCACUCAUUUUAAACUUGAUGUCUGCAACACAUCCCUAAAAAGUUGGGUCAGGGUCAUGUUUAUGGCUGUGUUACAUCACUUUUUCUUUGAACAACGCUCAAUAUGCAUUUGUGAACUGGGUUUUGGAGGUGAGAUUCUUUCUCUUUCUUGCUAGAUGUACAUCUUUAAAUUGUUCAACAGUUCAUGGUCUCUGUUGUCGUAACACACACAGAAUGUGGGUCGGCAUUGUCUUGGUGAAAUAAACAAGGAUGUCCCUGAAACAGACGUGGCUUGGAUGGCAGCAUAUUGUACGUUUCUUCAAAACCUGUCUGUAAUAAAAGAAAAAGAAAAAGAAAAGAAAAGAAAACAACAUUACCCUCCCAUAAGAGAAAGCUGCUAUGGCGUACCCUGUGAAACACAUUGAUAUUGUUAUUAUUUUUUAAUGGGUAAUGCUUAAACACAUUAAGAAGUAUACAGAGGAGCGUUUAUGAAAUGUCCGGUACAGUUAUUACUCACUGAUGUCCAGUAAUCCCAUGUUCAUGAUGAUGUCAGUUUUAAUGUGUCAGUUUUAAGAGCUCAAAGGUCAUGGGUAUUCACUGUUGGUUUCCAGCCUUGCUGCUUACAUGCAGAAACUUCUCUGGAUUUAAUGCGUCAUCACUGACAGUCCUAAAAUCUAUACUAAUGAUAAAUCAAACGGCUACUUGUAAUGUGUAACGGCUUUCUGCACCACCAACCUGCACAAAGGUAUUCUGACAAUUCUACUUCUUUUAUUCAUGAUUGUCAGCAGAAAAGUCAGUAGUGCUGCAACGCUUUAUCGAUUUGCUGUGCGUUUUAACUGCAGUUUUAUUUUCUCAUCCAUAACAAAAUAUCUGUUUUGACUAAGGUGAUUGAUCAGGGCAUUAGAGAGGCUCAGACUAAAUCCAACCAAACACCUCUGUCCACCAGCCGUUCUACUGCCACUGUUGUAGGCCAUACUUAUCUUUUCUAUAUGCGAUAUAAUAAAACUGACCAUCACAGUUUCAAAUCAGUGAACAGCAUCUUGACAUAAAUGAUGCAACACAACAAGCAGCGGUUGUAGAGAUGGUAGGUGUAAGCAUUAGUGAGCUAUUCCAGCUAUUUGUCUUGAUUCAUAUCAUUAAAGGUCUCCUAUCACGGCAUUUUUCACCAAGUUUAAAUCGGUCCCAGAGGUCCCACAGCAGUUAGCCAACCUGUACCCCCCGCCUUUUGAGCUCCACUGAGAACAGACUGAUUCUGCGCCUGUACCUUUAAAUGAUAAUGUACUGUGUGUAACUGUAACUGUCUAGAGGACCUCCAGACCACCGCUGCUGGAAGUACCAGCCUGCCUCCGCGCCCCCAAGGAACACCCGUUGCUCAGGAAUAAAAGUAAAUAGAAGCGACUCUGAAAACGAAUACCAACGAUGGUAAACACACGUGAUUGUCAGGCAUAGCACUCAUCAUACAGGCGGCGGUAGACCAACAUAAAAUGGCCCCUGACACAGACAGUCAGUACGGAUUCAGGUUGUAUCUUCAGCUUCUUAGCGAAUCCUGCUUUGAUCUGCCACUGUAAGACAGUCCGUGGUGAAAUGGUUAGUACACACAAACAACAUUUCAGAGUUGUUGUGGGUACAUUUCCAUAACAAAUAAAAUCAAUCCGCUGGGUCCUCAAAUCUUCCGACAAAGGAGGCAGAAAUAGACUCCUGUCUUCGUUUGUGCAGCCAAGAACCACGCAGCGGCUGGGUCGUAGCUUUGACAUGGUUGCUGUACCGGAGCAACCAGCAUAUGUGAGGGGAAAAAAUGGCAGACGCUACCUCAGUAAAGAAGUUUUAGAGGGAUGGGGUAACGAUUAUCAGGGGCGCUGGCAACAACAUGUAGGAGAGGCUUAUGCGGUCAUGUUGUCAUAGCGGUUAUGUCAUCAUAACUGCUUAACCCUUAUAACCGCGUAAGUCAUAACCACAUAAGCCUUUCCAUCCACCCAUUUGCGCUCAUGUUUUCAGAGAGGAGGGGAAAGCAAGAGAGGGAGAGAAUGAAAGUUUUUCAUGUAGAGGAGGGUUGUCGGCUUUGAGGGGGAUGCAUAUUAUUGGUAGAAAACCACCAAAAAGUGGAUUUUUCAUAAUAGAGGACUUUUAAUAUCCAAACUUUAGCUUUCGCAGAAUCUGAUUAAUAAAGAGUGGCUUUUUGUUCCUUUUACAUUCUUUUAUGGACAAAGGUCAUUUCCUGCUCUUUAAGCUGAGUUUCCUGAAGGACAUUAGAUCCAGUCACACCUUGUGAUUUUGAGUGUUUUGUAACCUCUAUUCAGGGUCUCAGUUGACUUACAUAGUAGUCCAUUUUACAGCUGUUCCAUUAUGCAUGUCUUGACACCAACAGGGACUCAUAUUUCCAAACAAGCGCUGACCUUUUCACCAAAACAGAGUGAAGAGGCAUCAGAGAGUAGGCUGUUUGCAUUAGAUUAGACCAGAGUUAUCUAACCAAACACCAACAUUUGGUGCCUUUGACCAUGAUUUGAACAAUUUUGGCAUUUAUUCAGCUCUUUGCUGUCUUAAGUUGUUAAAAGAAAAAGAUAUGUGAGUACGAACCGUAAGAAUGAUCAUUUUCAUCAUUUUGAUAAGAGCAGGAUGUUAACUGAUUUAUUUUAGAACUUUUGCUGAAUGCCACAUUGAGAUAACUUUCAACUAAAUCAGAUAGAGAGCACUUCACAUAGACAAUGAUGAUGAAUGAAGAAAUGUGACUGAUCAGCCGCAUGAUAUGAUCCUGUGAUCAAAAAAUGAUCAAAGUUUGGUAGUGGAGCUGAGUUUCACCUGAAUCACAAUCUACCUGACUGUAAAGCUGCAGCACCUGAAGAAUCAAAGGAUUUUAUGACGGUCCAAACUAUAAAAAUGCGACGCAAGUUCAACUUUUAAAUAUGAAUACUGUAGCUGAAUAUUUAAUUUCAUGGUUUUGAGUCACAUGCUAUACUAGGUAGCUAGUAGGGGUCAUAUCUAUUUCAUUUCACAGUUUUGUCAGAUAGAUCUAAUUCUAAUUGGUCAAUACAACAGUCUUCAACAAGGGCAGACAAUCUACAACAGCUUGAAUAAUCUCCAUUGGGAGGAAUGUUCUGCAAGUUUAAAAACACAUGCAAAGGCAAAUACAACUCAAGCACACAAACACACUGCAGAAGAAUAAGACAUGCUGGAAAAAGCAGAAACAACCCCUGGUACAUAUAGGAAAUAUUGCUUUAUUAAGUAGGUAAGUUGCUGAAAGUGAAAUGGAUGAAAAGUGCAGUUUAAUGAGGGAUAGCAUGACAGGCAUGAUGCACAGUUGUGGUUUCACCAUUGGCCAAGUGAAGACCUCAAAAAACAUUUUCCUGACUUUUUCUCUUGCAACGUUGGGUCAUUGUGACCUAGAAAAAAAUAUUCAUCCCUUUAUCACAAAUUCAUGACUUUUGAUUUUUCUCCCUCAGCUCUGUCUCUUUUCUCUUUUUUUUAAUGGUCCUGAAAAGCUAAUAUAAUUUGCACUUAUGCACAAUAUAUAAACAUCAAGAAGUACUUCAGGUUUGAUUGCUACAGCUUUAAAACCGAGACAACUCAUGAGCUCAUAUUUGAUUUUGUUGCCAAGCUACAAAUUACACAGAGUUUUUGCCAGUUUUUACACCAAUAAUCAUCCCAGUACUUGCAGGUAAGGUGAUCCAGGGACUGUGUAGUAAAGCUUCACGCAAUUUUCUUUAUGUUUGGUCAACUGUCAGUCCUCCACCCCUUGGGAGAUAAAUAGGGAUAUAUGUGAGUGGAUGUAGCUCUAUUUACAUAUAGUACUCUAACUGAACUACCAAGCAAUAAAAGCCCUUUUGAAAUUUAUGUCCUGUUUACCUUUUAACACACACACGCACACACGAACACACAAGCAUACACUUUAUAGAGCCACACAAGACCUUUUAUAAAAUUUUUAUUUGCACUAUAAAAGGCUGCCUUCAAGAGCAAUUUGAGGUUUAGUAUCUUACCCAAUGACACUCAGACGUGGACUGGAGAAGCUGCAUCGACCUGUGCCGCCAUCUAAACACACAGUACAUGUGAGCUGCAGCAGCUUUUUUGUUUGUUUCACAUUAAUGGUUUAUAUUGCUCAUGAACAUUUCUCAUUUUGUCAUAACCCUUUUUGAUAUCAUCAACUGAGAAAUUUUUUAUACAGCAGGUAAAAUAAGUAUUGAACACAUCGCUAUUCUCCUUAGUAAAUAAAUUUCUAAAGGUGCUAUUGACAGGAAAUUUUCACCAGGUGUCGAUAAUAACCCAUGCAAGCAACACAUGUAAAGAAAUCAAACCUUAGACGUCCUUAAGGUCAGGUUAUUGGCUGGACCAUUCUAGCAGCUUUAUUUUCUUUCUCUGAAAUCAUGUCAGAGUUUCCUUGGCUGUGUGCUCUGGGUCAUUGUCCACCCUCGUUUCAUCUUCAUCAUCCUUUAUGAAGAAUGUCUCAGUAGAUUUUUCCAUUCAUCCUUCCUUCAAGUAUAUGAAGUUUGCCAAAGCCGUACACUAAAAAACAGCCUGACACCACAACAUUCCCACCUCCAAACAUCAAUGUUGGUAUUUAAGGUGACAUGCAGUGCCAUCUGACCUCCAAACAUGGUGUAUAUUUAUGGCAUCCAAAGAGUUCAAUUUUGGUCUCAUCUGACUACUAGACUAUAUUCUCCCAGUAUAAUUACUGAUGGAUUUUAACAGGUGUCUCAGCUUUACAUGCCUUUUUACACCUCAGUUUCUUCAUGUGUUCAAACCUUUCCUUUUUUUUUUUUUUACACAUAACUGAAAUGAUGGCUGUCUAAGACUUCAUUUCUUUGCAUGUGUAGGUUGCAUGGAUUAUUACCCACAUCUGGUGAAAAUUUCAUGUCAACAGUACCAUUAGAAGUAUAUUUACAGAGAAAAACUGUGACGUGUUCAGUGCUUACUCUACCCGCUGUAUGUGUGUAGUGGCACCUGAACUUUCUUCUCCUUCUCAUCUAAUACCAUAGCAUUGGUCAGUUUGUACACAUGAAAUGACAAAAAACUGAACCCGACCUAUCCUGGUUAUUAAGGGUUUUACCAAUCAUCUAAUGUGUGUUAAAGGGAAACCAGGAUGUCAAACCUUUAUCAUAGCAUCCAGCUAGUAUAAACAAGCAUAAGACUCCUGCUGGAAACAAAGGCCGACUGUCUAUCCCAUGAUCUCUACUGAGAUUAUGGACUGUAAAAAAGCACUAAAGCUGCCAGCCUUAUUUCUACUUACUUCUUCCAACUUCUCUCACAUAUAUCUUAGGCCAUCUGGGAAAUCCGACCCCUUCAACCUGCACCAUUUCAUCGUCACACCUAGAUUCCUGGACAAUUGCAGAGCCCCAUCAUCCCAUCAUAUCUGAGGUAUGCCUUGUGAGACAGUUCCCGCACAUGUAGGUCUGAGACUGUAGUUCAGAGUCAGUAAUACAUCCCAGAUCUCAAUUUCAGCCAUCUGGAGACUCAUCAUCAGCUGACUUCUUGUGGAAUUUUUCCAUGUCAAAAACAAAAAGAAGAGAGACAGCUGUAUCUGUGUAGAAGUAAUAACUCGAUAAGAGCCUCCUGUGAUCAUGGGAUGUAUAUGUGUGAACUGCAGAGUGUUUGUUUGUCCUGAGUGUCAGCUGAAUAAGUAGACACAGUGAGAUAUUAAAUCUCUACCUUGUUCCCCACACAGCAUACUUUAAAAAGAAAAAGUUACAAGAUGUGUUUGCAUAUGUGUCUGUUCUAAUUCGGAUUUUAUCUCUUUGUGUUAACUCUGUGUAAGGUUCCUACACACUUUUUGAGAUCAUAUUUAUGACUUCUCGGGACCUUUUUAAGACACCAAAUUAGAAAAAUUUUACACUAUUUUUGUGUAGCAGAGAAAGGACACUUUACACAAGUAAAUCAGAUCAAAACUUGUGUUAAUAUCAAAUCCUAAAAACUACAUCUCCUAAUUAUUAAAGAUUUUUUCAACAUACUUUCAAGUCACCUAAAAUUUUUAAUUCCCCCUUACAACCAUAAAGCUGGAAAAAAAAUGUUAAGGACUAGAAUUUCCAACAUAUAAGACAUGUUACAGAGGAAAAUCAUGUUACUAUAAAGAAUGACACUCUAGAUAUAUUUACAGUAGCUUGUUAAUUUGUUAUAAUAUAUCAAAAAGGUGUAAUUUAGUAGUUGGUCAUAACAUGAUUUCCAUCAGCUGCUCUGUGAAGCUGAUGUUGCUGUGUUUUAUCACCUGCUGAGUCGGCUUGUGUUCCUCUGUCAUGAAGUGUUUCAUUGCAGUGCAGUCUGUGGUUAUAGCUCUAUCUGCAGAUGAUCAUGACUCAUGACAAAUGCACAUUCUCCUGUACUUUACUUGCCAAAUAUAAAUACAGCUGGCUCAGCAGGGUAGUAAACGAAACAUCGAUAAACUGUUUGGAUCAGUAAUACGUCAACCCAGAGAUGACCCGAUGGUCACAAACUGUAAGGGCUCAUGUCGCCACCUACUGAGCUACAACUGUAGCUCAACUUGACUGUGCAUGUAAACAUACUGAUGGACUAGAGUGAAAGUUGUCAACGAUAACGAGGUCUUCUCUAUCUGUGAUUGCUUAUGUUAAAAUCAAAUUAUAAUAGUAUCAUUUUUGCUGGUCGCUGACUAUAUUAGCUCUUUGUUUUGGUCUGAUGACCAAUCAGAGGCUGUAUGUGCAAUCAGCUGAUCUGUAGAGGACCAUCAGAAACAAGGCUUUCUGUGUCUCAGUAGAGCAGUUGAGGUAAUGAAACUUGUGAUAAAUUAGUUGUUUUUCAUACUACAAUUGUGUAUGGGCCUCAUUUUUUAUGUAUUCUCUUCACACAGAAUCCUCUGGAACUGAUAAAGGGAAGUGAUUAAGCACUGCAUUGAUAAGAUAAAUCGCAAAUGGCUUUGGCAUCAAUCAAAUCUUAUCAGUUCCCAUCUUAUUAGCUCACUUUGCUGCUCCAUACUUGGCUCUGAAAAUGCAGCAUGAGCACAGGCGAAAGAACCACAGUCUGGCAUUAGUCAUCACCAGCGUAUAAUAUCUGGCUGUUUAACUGCUAAAUGCUCUGUAUCACCAGGUGGCUGCUCUGAGUAUCCGUCUGCUCUUUUCUCUUUCA
rnacentral:lncRNA from 1 species